AAUGAACGCUGGCGGCGCGCCUAAUACAUGCAAGUCGAGCGAGAAGACGUAGCAAUACGUUUGUAAAGCGGCGAACGGGUGAGGAAUACAUGGGUAACCUACCCUCGAGUGGGGAAUAACUAGCCGAAAGGUUAGCUAAUACCGCGUACGCUCCUUGGACUUCGGUUCAGGGAGGAAAGCGAUACCGUGGGUAUCGCGCUCUUGGUUGGGCUCAUGUCCUAUCAGCUAGUUGGUGGGGUAANGGCUCACCAAGGCGACGACGGGUAGCUGGUCUGAGAGGAUGGCCAGCCACAUUGGGACUGAGACACGGCCCAGACUCCUACGGGAGGCAGCAGUGGGGAAUAUUGCGCAAUGGGCGAAAGCCUGACGCAGCGACGCCGCGUGUGGGAUGACGGCCUCGGUU
rnacentral:rRNA from 1 species